CAAAAGGUAGCUAAAUUAAGCUAAAGUGUGAUAGACUUUCCAUGGUAAUACCCCUUUUGU
rnacentral:tRNA from 1 species